rnacentral:tRNA from 1 species
GCUUUCGUGGUAUAGUGGUCAGCACACUGGCUGCAUAUUCCACAGAUCCGUGGUUCGAGUCCCGGUGAAAGCA